UGUUCGGAAGCUCAUCAGGUCGAGCAGCCGGCGAAAGCCGGCCGGUGGCGGGUUCGAAUCCCGCUCGAACAC
rnacentral:tRNA from 2 species